AAGCGCUUGCAGCCAGACUUGCCUGUAGUUGCUCAUCCGGGUUUCUACCCGGUGCACUCUUCUAUAGGCAGGCCAGCAUCAGUUUGGGCGGUUGGAUAAAGGUCUCUGUCAUGUACCUCCUUUCGGGGAGAACUUAUAGGGGAGACGACAUGCAACCAGCCCGGACUGAGGUCCGCGCAUCUGCUAGGAUGCUGGCGUAAUGGCUGUAAGCGG
rnacentral:rRNA from 1 species